UACGUAGGGUGCGAGCGUUGUCCGGAAUUAUUGGGCGUAAAGAGCUCGUAGGCGGUUUGUCGCGUCUGCUGUGAAAACGCGAGGCUCAACCUCGCGCCUGCAGUGGGUACGGGGCAGACUAGAGUGCGGUAGGGGAGAUUGGAAUUCCUGGUGUAGCGGUGGAAUGCGCAGAUAUCAGGAGGAACACCGAUGGCGAAGGCAGAUCUCUGGGCCGUAACUGACGCUGAGGAGCGAAAGCGUGGGGAGCGAACAGG
rnacentral:rRNA from 1 species